rnacentral:rRNA from 1 species
GACGAACGCUGGCGGCGUGCUUAACACAUGCAAGUCGAACGAGUGGCGAACGGGUGAGUAAUACGUGAGUAACCUGCCCUCUUUUUGGGAUAAGCCUUGGAAACGGGGUCUAAUACCGGAUAAAGGGGGAUGGGCUCGCGGCCUAUCAGAUUGUGGGUGGGGUGAUGGCCGACCAAGGCGGUGACGGGUAGCCGGACUGAGAGGGUGACCGACCAGGUUGGGGCUGAGAGACGGCCCAGACUCCAGCAGGAGGCAGCAGUGGGGGAUAGUGCACAAUGGGCGAAAGCCUGAUGCAGCGACGCCGCGUGGGGGAUGGAAGCUUUCGGGUUGGAAACCUCUUUCGCUAUCGAACGAGUAGGUGGAGAAGAAGCGCCGGCUAACUACGUGCCAGCCGCCGCGGUAAUUC